rnacentral:tRNA from 1 species
GGCCGGUUAGCUCAGGUGGUUGAGCAUGGUGCUGAUAACACCAAGGCCGCAGGUUCGAUUCCUGUUCGGUCC